UACGUAGGGGGCAAGCGUUGUCCGGAUUUAUUGGGCGUAAAAGGCUUGUAGGUGGCCACGCCAAGUCGGAUGUGAAAUCUCCCGGCUCAACUGGGAGGGGUCAUUCGAUACUGUCGGGCUCGAGUACGGAAGAGGCGAGUGGAAUUCCUGGUGUAGCGGUGAAAUGCGCAGAUAUCAGGAGGAACACCGGUGGCGAAGGCGGCUCUCUGGGCCUUACCUGACGCUGAGGAGCGAAAGCGUGGGUAGCGAACAGG
rnacentral:rRNA from 1 species